rnacentral:rRNA from 1 species
GACAAACGCUGGCGGCGUGCAUAAGACAUGCAAGUCGGACGGGGGGCUUCGGCCUCGAGUGGCGGACGGGUGAGGAGCGCGUGGAUGAUCUGCCCCGUGGUGGGGGAUACCCGCCAGAAAUGGCGGUUAAGACCGCAUACGACCUGCUGGUGCGAGCUGGCGGGGGAAAGCCGCAAGGCGCCAUGGGAGGGGUCCGCGCCGGAUUAGCUAGUUGGUGGGGUAAGGGCCUACCAAGGCUGUGAUCCGUAGCUGGUCUGAGAGGACGGCCAGCCACACU